GUCAAAUCAUCAUGCCCCUUAUGGCCUGGGCUACACACGUAAUACAAUGGCGCCAGAACAACGGGAAGCGAAGGAGCGAUCCGGAGCGAAUCCCCAAAAGGCGUCCCAGUUCGGAUUGCAGGCUGCAACCCGCCUGCAUGAAGUCGGAAUUGCUAGUAAUCGCGGAUCAGCAUGCCGCGGUGAAUACGUUCCCGGGCCUU
rnacentral:rRNA from 1 species